rnacentral:rRNA from 1 species
CCGGCGAUGUCCGAAUGGGGAAACCCAGUGCAAUUCGUUGCACUAUCGUUAACUGAAUACAUAGGUUAACGAGGCGAACCGGGGGAACUGAAACAUCUAAGUACCCCGAGGAAAAGAAAUCAACCGAGAUUCCCCCAGUAGCGGCGAGCGAACGGGGAGCAGCCCAGAGUCUGAAUCAGCUUGUGUGUUAGUGGAACGGUCUGGAAAGUCCGACGGUACAGGGUGAUAGUCCCGUACACCAAAAUGCACAGGUUGUGAACUCGAAGAGUAGGGCGGGACACGUGGUAUCCUGUCUGAAUAUGGGGGGACCAUCCUCCAAGGCUAAAUACUCCUGACUGACCGAUAGUGAACCAGUACCGUGAGGGAAAGGCGAAAAGAACCCCGGCGAGGGGAGUGAAAAAGAACCUGAAACCGUGUACGUACAAGCAGUGGGAGCACCUUCGGGUGUGACUGCGUACCUUUUGUAUAAUGGGUCAGCGACUUAUAUUCUGUAGCAAGGUUAACCGUAUAGGGGAGCCGCAGGGAAACCGAGUCUUAACUGGGCGUUAAGUUGCAGGGUAUAGACCCGAAACCCGGUGAUCUAGCCAUGGGCAGGUUGAAGGUUGGGUAACACUAACUGGAGGACCGAACCGACUAAUGUUGAAAAAUUAGCGGAUGACUUGUGGCUGGGGGUGAAAGGCCAAUCAAACCGGGAGAUAGCUGGUUCUCCCCGAAAGCUAUUUAGGUAGCGCCUCGUGAACUCAUCUUCGGGGGUAGAGCACUGUUUCGGCUAGGGGGUCAUCCCGACUUACCAACCCGAUGCAAACUACGAAUACCGAAGAAUGUUAUCACGGGAGACACACGGCGGGUGCUAACGUCCGUCGUGAAGAGGGAAACAACCCAGACCGCCAGCUAAGGUCCCAAAGUCAUGGUUAAGUGGGAAACGAUGUGGGAAGGCACAGACAGCCAGGAUGUUGGCUUAGAAGCAGCCAUCAUUUAAAGAAAGCGUAAUAGCUCACUGGUCGAGUCGGCCUGCGCGGAAGAUGUAACGGGGCUAAACCAUGCACCGAAGCUGCGGCAGCGACACUUAUGUGUUGUUGGGUAGGGGAGCGUUCUGUAAGCCUGCGAAGGUGGCCUGUGAGGGCUGCUGGAGGUAUCAGAAGUGCGAAUGCUGACAUAAGUAACGAUAAAGCGGGUGAAAAGCCCGCUCGCCGGAAGACCAAGGGUUCCUGUCCAACGUUAAUCGGGGCAGGGUGAGUCGACCCCUAAGGCGAGGCCGAAAGGCGUAGUCGAUGGGAAACAGGUUAAUAUUCCUGUACUUGGUGUUACUGCGAAGGGGGGACGGAGAAGGCUAUGUUAGCCGGGCGACGGUUGUCCCGGUUUAAGCAUGUAGGCGGAGGUUCCAGGUAAAUCCGGUACCUUUUAACGCUGAGGUGUGAUGACGAGGCACUACGGUGCUGAAGUAACAAAUGCCCUGCUUCCAGGAAAAGCCUCUAAGCAUCAGGUAACAUUAAAUCGUACCCCAAACCGACACAGGUGGUCAGGUAGAGAAUACCAAGGCGCUUGAGAGAACUCGGGUGAAGGAACUAGGCAAAAUGGUGCCGUAACUUCGGGAGAAGGCACGCUGGUGUGUAGGUGAAGUCCCUGCGGAUGGAGCUGAGACCAGUCGAAGAUACCAGCUGGCUGCAACUGUUUAUUAAAAACACAGCACUGUGCAAACACGAAAGUGGACGUAUACGGUGUGACGCCUGCCCGGUGCCGGAAGGUUAAUUGAUGGGGUUAUCCGUAAGGAGAAGCUCUUGAUCGAAGCCCCGGUAAACGGCGGCCGUAACUAUAACGGUCCUAAGGUAGCGAAAUUCCUUGUCGGGUAAGUUCCGACCUGCACGAAUGGCGUAAUGAUGGCCAGGCUGUCUCCACCCGAGACUCAGUGAAAUUGAACUCGCUGUGAAGAUGCAGUGUACCCGCGGCAAGACGGAAAGACCCCGUGAACCUUUACUAUAGCUUGACACUGAACAUUGAGCCUUGAUGUGUAGGAUAGGUGGGAGGCUUUGAAGCGUGGACGCCAGUCUGCGUGGAGCCAACCUUGAAAUACCACCCUUUAAUGUUUGAUGUUCUAACGUUGGCCCGUAAUCCGGGUUGCGGACAGUGUCUGGUGGGUAGUUUGACUGGGGCGGUCUCCUCCCAAAGAGUAACGGAGGAGCACGAAGGUUAGCUAAUCCUGGUCGGACAUCAGGAGGUUAGUGCAAUGGCAUAAGCUAGCUUGACUGCGAGCGUGACGGCGCGAGCAGGUGCGAAAGCAGGUCAUAGUGAUCCGGUGGUUCUGAAUGGAAGGGCCAUCGCUCAACGGAUAAAAGGUACUCCGGGGAUAACAGGCUGAUACCGCCCAAGAGUUCAUAUCGACGGCGGUGUUUGGCACCUCGAUGUCGGCUCAUCACAUCCUGGGGCUGAAGUAGGUCCCAAGGGUAUGGCUGUUCGCCAUUUAAAGUGGUACGCGAGCUGGGUUUAGAACGUCGUGAGACAGUUCGGUCCCUAUCUGCCGUGGGCGCUGGAGAAUUGAGGGGGGCUGCUCCUAGUACGAGAGGACCGGAGUGGACGCAUCACUGGUGUUCGGGUUGUCAUGCCAAUGGCACUGCCCGGUAGCUAAAUGCGGAAGAGAUAAGUGCUGAAAGCAUCUAAGCACGAAACUUGCCCCGAGAUGAGUUCUCCCUGAGACUAUAAGUCUCCUGAAGGAACGUUGAAGACGACGACGUUGAUAGGCCGGGUGUGUAAGCGCAGCGAUGCGUUGAGCUAACCGGUACUAAUGAACCGUGAGGCUUAACCUUACAACGCCGAAGCUGUU